UCAGAAGCUCAAAAAUGCUGAAGUGGUUGGAAAAAACAGGCAAAGAGAAGACCUGAAACCAAAUGGGGAUUUCACACUGGGAUGUCAAAUAUUACAACGAUGAGGGGUGUGCUCACAGCACACUCACGUGGUUUUGCUGAAACAGAACAGUGUGGAUGGUAAAGAGAGCCCCAUCUUAGAGGAAGGACCCAUCAGGAGGAAAAUCUCUUGUCUGAUGGAGCAAUCCAUGAUUCUGAGAAGAGAAAGCAUUGCGUUGAUUGUUGCAGAGAGGAACUUGCUCAGCUCAGUGGGGAGGAACCUGGCUCUAGCACUGCUCUCCAGCAGGACCCUGGGGAUUUCUAGACAUGUUUUUGGCCAGACCACUUCUUCUCUCCCAGCCUCCCUCUUUCCUUGGAUCUGUGCCUGCCUCAGAGUUGUGGAAUAACCAGGACUUCAUCCAUUCUGCACCAAUGUGGGCACAAACAACUGCAAAACAGCAGAGUGACAUGGACGAAGGAGGAUUCCCUGAUUCUGGGAUUUCCAGAGGAUGAGACCCCAGUUCACGGCAAACUGAAAUCCUUUGUUUUCUGGGUCCUUUACUGCUGGUCCAUCUAAACUGUGGAUGUUACCAGCAGCUCUAACUGAGCCAGUGUCCUUUCCAAGAUCAGGAUUCUUCCAGUUUCACCCUCCUGGGAACUCAUGUGGGAGUGGAUCAAUGUACACAAAGGUUUUGCAGGGGAAUGUCCUAAAGUCACUUUUGUUUUAUACUCUGAACGUCCAUAAAAUAAUAAAAACAUCUCCAAAAGACAAUAAAUACCUGAAAG